rnacentral:rRNA from 1 species
GACGAACGCUAGCGGCAGGCUUAACACAUGCAAGUCGAACGGUAAGGCCUUCGGGGUACACGAGUGGCGCACGGGUGCGUAACACGUAUGCAACUUACCCUUCAGGGGGGGAUAGUCGCGGGAAACUGCGAAUAAUACCCCAUACGAUCUUGGUUUGGCAUCGGGCUAAGAUGAAAGUUUCGGCACUGAGGGAUGGGCAUGCGUCCCAUUAGCUAGUAGGUAGGGUAACGGCCUACCAAGGCGACGAUGGGUAGCUGGUCUGAGAGGAUGAUCAGCCACAUGGGCACUGAGACACGGGCCCAACUCCUACGGGAGGCAGCAGUGAGGAAUCUUGGUCAAUGGACGGAAGUCUGAACCAGCCAUGCCGCGUGGAGGAAGACGGCCCUCUGGGUUGUAAACUUCUUUAGCUAGGGGCUAAAGUGGAGCUAUAAGCUUCAUUGCAGGUACCUAGAGAAUAAGCGCCGGCUAACUACGUGCCAGCAGCCGCGGUAAUACGUAGGGCGCAAGCGUUGUCCGGAUUUAUUGGGUUUAAAGGGUACGUAGGCUGAUAGGUAAGUUUGGGGUGAAAUCGUCCGGCUCAACCGGAUACCCGCCCUAGAUACUGUUUAUCUUGAGAUGGGAUGAGGAAGUUAGAAUGCGUGGUGUAGCGGUGAAAUGCAUAGAUAUCACGCAGAAUACCGAUUGCGAAGGCAGACUUCUGGUCCUAAUCUGACGCUGAGGUACGAAAGCGUGGGUAGCGAACAGGAUUAGAUACCCUGGUAGUCCACGCUGUAAACGAUGAUCACUAGGUGUUCGGACUUCGGUUUGAGUGCCCAAGCGAAAGCGAUAAGUGAUCCACCUGGGGAGUACGUUCGCAAGAAUGAAACUCAAAGGAAUUGACGGGGGGCCCGCACAAGCGGUGGAGCAUGUGGUUUAAUUCGAUGAUACGCGAGGAACCUUACCUGGGCUAGAAUGCCCCUGACCGCUGCCGAAAGGUGGUUUCUCUUCGGAGCAGGGUGCAAGGUGCUGCAUGGUUGUCGUCAGCUCGUGCCGUGAGGUGUUGGGUUAAGUCCCGCAACGAGCGCAACCCCUAUCUUUAGUUGCCAGCAUGUAAUGAUGGGGACUCUAAAGAGACUGCCUCCGCAAGGAGUGAGGA